GUGACUCUGUUCAACGGCCGCGGUAUCCUAACCGUGCGAAGGUAGCGUAAUCACUUGUUCUUUAAAUGAGGACUAGUAUGAAUGGCAUCACGAAGGUUACACUGUCUCCUUUAUCUAAUCAGUGAAACUAAUCUUCCCGUGAAGAAGCGGGAAUAAAAAUAUAAGACGAGAAGACCCUAUGGAGCUUUAAACACACUGAUAAUUGCCUUGCACACUCAACUUCCAGAAAAGCAACUAAAAUUCAGGCACUAUAAUCACAAGUUUUAGGUUGGGGUGACCACGGAGCACAACAAAACCUCCGUAAUGAACGGGAAUUUUCCCCUAAACCAAGGGCUACAGCCCCCAGAAUCAAUAAAUUGACAUAUAUUGACCCA
rnacentral:rRNA from 1 species